CGUUCGAGAGCCCCACUCGGUUUUCUCCUCUCCACUCUCGCCCUCUCUCAGAGCUGAGCCCUGGAGCGCACGCCAUGGACGCCGCGCCCACCUGAGCCGCCGUUGAGCUCCCUCCGGUCCUCCUCCGCCUGAAUCGAGGCCGUGGUCUGCCCCCCCCCCCCACAUCCCCCUCGACCUCCCCGGCCCCUUCACUGACCUUCACACACCACCCCUUCAUCGGAAACCGCGCUACAGCACCGCCCGCCAUGGCUGUCGCCGGCCCUGCACACCGCGCCCCCACCUCUGGCCCUUCUCCGCCCGAGCUAGCUCUCUGAACGGGUUCUCCUCGUAGCGUUGAAGCUUCCCAGCCCGGCCACCGCCGCCCUCCCUUACCAGAGCGCCGCCCCACGCCGCCACCACCGCCGCCAAGACCCUGCUUCCGCCGCGGCCCUCCUCCAGUCACCCCAACUUCAACCGAGCGCACCCAGAGGUACGCUAGAUGUACACUGCAUGGAUGUAAAGCACGUGAUGGCGGGAUCGAACCCCAAGAUGGUGAAUGGAGGAUAGAUCCUGAAGAUGGAAGGAUUGUCUAGAGUGCAUGCUUGGACUGAAGAUGAUGUCAAGCCGGUGCAAUACUGCAAGCUAACUAACUGACUUUGUGUCAAACUCAGGCAAGCCCCGGAGCAUAUUUCUUACUUAUAAUUAUGUCAUAUUAUAUCUAAAGUAUUGUGCAUUUACGUUCAAGGAAUUGAUUGGAACUAUAGAUGCAUAAUCUCUUUUACCCAA